GAUGAAGAACGUAGCGAAAUGCGAUAAGUAAUGUGAAUUGCAGAAUUCAGUGAAUCAUCGAAUCUUUGAACGCACAUUGCGCCCGCCAGUAUUCUGGCGGGCAUGCCUGUUCGAGCGUCAUUUCAACCAUCAAGCCCCAGGCUUGUGUUGGGGACCUGCGGCUGCCGCAGGCCCUGAAAAUCAGUGGCGGGCUCGCUAGUCACUCCGAGCGUAGUAAUACAUCUCGCUCUGGACGUGCUUCGUGCUCCGGCCGUUACACACCUUAUUUACCCAAGGUUGACCUCGGAUCAGGUAGGAAGACCCGCUGAACUUAAGCAUAUCAAUAAGCGGAGGA
rnacentral:misc_RNA from 1 species